UACGUAGGGUGCAAGCGUUAUCCGGAAUCACUGGGCGUAAAGCGUGCGUAGGUGGGAAUUUAAGUGAGAUGUGAAAAUCGUGUGGCUCAACCAUAUCGUUGUAUCUCAUACUGGGUUCCUAGAGGACGGCAGAGGCAAGUGGAACUAGCAGUGUAGCAGUGAAAAUGCGUAGAUAUUUGCUAAGAACACCAAUGGCGAAGGCAGCUUUGCUGGGCCACUCCUGACACUGAGGUACGAAAGCGUGGGGAGCGAACAGGA
rnacentral:rRNA from 1 species